UGGGGAAUAUUGGACAAUGGGCGAAAGCCUGAUCCAGCCAUGCCGCGUGUGUGAAGAAGGUCUUCGGAUUGUAAAGCACUUUAAGUUGGGAGGAAGGGCAGUAAGGGAAUACCUUGCUGAUAUUUGACGUUACCGACAGAAUAAGCACCGGCAUAACUCUGUGC
rnacentral:rRNA from 1 species